AAUUUUCAACCCAGGGCUGAGUUCAACCCCGGGGUUGAAAUUUCAACCCUGCUUCAACCCCGGGGUUGAACUCAGCCCUGGGUUGAAAA